AAGCUCAGAGCUGGUAGGGGGUGGAGGCAGGAUUCAAACCUCAGAGAGCACUUCCCUAAGGGGUGCCCGAGACGGCCCCAUAGCCACCUCGAGGGAAGGGGAAGCUGACCCCUCUCUGUCCCUCUUCCCCCCACGCCAAGAGACCUCUCUCUCCAGCCUGUGAUCUCAGUGGGAGCUGCAGGUACCCACAGAGGGCUUCCUGAAUAAUUGAUGCUUCCUGCCCUCGCAGAGAAAUUCAAGAAAUGUCAGGAUCUGCGGGGGAUCAGGUCCAGGCUCUGCAGGACACGGGAAUGAAUAAAGAAAGACGGGGACAUGGAUCCUGCCUUCAAGAAGCUCCGGGGCCGAUGGGGGAACGUGAAGACUAAGUGUGACAAGGGCCACAGGAAGCUGAUAAAGUGCCUGGAGGCCAGGAGAGGCAAGGACACUUGUGGCUUCUGGAGAAGGUGGCAUCUGAGCUGGGCUCUGAUAGCGAGGGAAAUGGUGAGAAAUGGCAGCCCAGGGGAGGAAGAGAGCGAGGGAGGCAAGACAGUGGGGUGCACGGGGGUCUCCAGGAGCAAGAUUCAUGCUCCUCAGUGGAUCCUAAAGCCGGCUGGCCACUAUUCCCCUGACUUUGAGCCCGUCCUUUCCCCUCUGGGUCUCAGUGCCACAUCUGGCUCCCACCCUCACAGAGGGAAGCAGCAGGGUAGGUAAGUCCCCGGGGGGCUUUGGAGCGGGACGGAGCUGCGGCCCGGGCCCCACCUGCUCUAGCUGUGUCACCCCGGGUCCCUUCUACUCUGGCUCUGUGACCUGGUGAACGUCCAGAAAGACUCUAGUUCACACGCCGAAUUACGCAACCUAUCAGGAGGGGAAACGAUGCAAGUGGCCAAUAAAAACUAAUGUUUUAAAACAGUCGGUAGAAAGAAACAUAUCAGUGGUUUCUUGACUAGUGGAGUCACAGGUGAUUUUCUGGGUCUUAUCCAACACUUCUGGUAUAAUCCACAUUUUUUUUUGCAAUGAGGAUUUAUUUUUACAGGGAGGAAUCACAAUAAAUAUUAUUGAAAAUGGAGUUGGAAGU